rnacentral:ncRNA from 1 species
CCAGCGCAUGCGGGAGAGACUGCUCUUGAAGGGCAGCGCCGAAGGAGCAACAGCCCCGGAAACUCUCAGGCAACCGGACCGUUUGCGCCAA